UGAGGCAGGAGAAUUGCUUGAACCCAGGAGGUGGAGGUUGCAGUGAGCCAAGAUCGUGCCACUGUACUCCAGCCUGGGUGACAGAGUGAGACUC
rnacentral:miRNA from 1 species